GCUGAUCUUCCCCAAGAGUCCAUAUCGACGGGAUGGUUUGGCACCUCGAUGUCGGCUCGUCGCAUCCUGGGGCUGGAGUCGGUCCCAAGGGUUGGGCUGUUCGCCCAUUAAAGCGGUACGCGAGCUGGGUUUAGAACGUCGUGAGACAGUUCGGUCCCUAUCCGCUGUGCGCGUAGGAGUCUUGAGAAGGGCUGUCCCUAGUACGAGAGGACCGGGACGGACGAACCUCUGGUGUGCCAGUUGUUCUGCCAAGGGCAUGGCUGGUUGGCUACGUUCGGGAGGGAUAACCGCUGAAAGCAUCUAAGCGGGAAGCCUGCUUCGAGAUGAGGACUCCCACCCCCUUGAGGGGUUAAGGCUCCCAGUAGACGACUGGGUUGAUAGGCCGGAUCUGGAAGCACCGUGAGGUGUGGAGGUGACCGGUACUAAUAGGCCGAGGGCUUGUCCUCAGUUG
rnacentral:rRNA from 1 species